GCUGCCAAGAUUCUUAGGAGAGUUCACCUCAUUUCUUCCUACCAGAUGGCCCUUCCUGCUAGGUCAGGCUGCCUCCGGACUCCCCAACUCCAGCCAAAAGUGAACCUCUUUUCCUGCCAUUUUAACCUCUUCCCUACUAGUCUUAUUCCCCAUCAUCACCUUUAAUUUCACAUCUAGAGCCUAACUGCAAAUUGGAGAAGAUCAGAGACAAAGGAGCCCCGCCUGAAGAUGAAAAAAGAUUCAUCCUUCUUCUUCUGUUAUUCCCCUCAGUGCCCAGUAUGAUCUGCUCAAAGGAAGUGCUCAAUGAAUACUGUUCUAUUUGUUGUUGAUGAUGAUGAUGAUGAUUAUGAUACUGAUGAUCAUCCACUGCAACAGCACCAUCAUUGUCAUCAUCAUCAUCAUCAUCAUCAUCAUCAUCAUCGUCAUUGCCAUCAUCAACUUUUUGUAAAGGUUUUUACAUUUCCAAGCAAUCACCAUGGCUGCUGGCCUGAAAUAUCUGCUUUCUUGGAUUGAUCUGAUCAUAGCAGUCUGUCACCACACCAAGAGGUGAUUCCCCAUUUAUUCUCAGGGGUUUUCCCUGCUGAGGAAAAAGUCUUGAAGCUAUCUGUAUCCAGCCUGGGAUAUCCUGCACCUAGUUGAUAAGACGAAGACCAUGACGUGAAAAGCUUAACCAUAUUUCAGAAACCAAAAUGGUAACCUGAGAAGAUACAGGACAUCUGGGCAAAAGUUUGAGCUUCAAACCUUCAAUCACCUCUCCAUUUUCCUUCUCAAGAAACUCUCAUGAGGACACAAUGCUUGUAAACUACUCCUGAACUCAGAGGAUUAAAGAUAUUGAAACCAAAA